rnacentral:lncRNA from 1 species
CUUUUUGCCUGGGGGAGAAAAGCUGCUUUCUAUAAGCUUUUAAUAUUCAGCAGGGCUUCAUAGAGUUACAAUCGAAGCUUCAUCUUAAAUGACAACUUGUGUCUGGACAUCAAAAUUACCCCAUCUUGGCCGGACGUGGCUCACGCCUGUAAUCCCAGCACUUUGGGAGGCCGAGGCAGGUGGAUCACCUGAGGUCAGGAGUUCAGGACCAGCCUGGCCAAGGAAACUCUUUAACACAGAGUUUUGUUGUCAUCAUCUCUUGUGGGGGCUUUGGAUGUCUUCAAGUCCUGUCCACACAACUCUGGAGGCACACGGUCCCUAUGGGAGGGGACUUCCCUGGCAGAGUCUGUGUCCAGACACAUGUGGGAGCUGGUACAGAAGGGAAAUAGACAGCUUCCCAUUUUUAGGGGCUUGGGGCUUAAACACAUUUGUUCUUGAGUCAGGCGAGAAAUCAGCAGCAAACAAGACAAGGGUGGGAAGGAGAGGUGGUGGUGGUAAAGAGAGCGCUUCGGCUUUCAUAGAUGGAAUUUAAGGCAGAAA